rnacentral:lncRNA from 1 species
ACCAUUAUCAGAAAGAUACAACUAAAUCAACAUAUUAUGAAUGAUAAUUCCAACAGUUAGAUGAGCAUCAGAUGUGUGGCACCUUCAAUGAUCAUCUAAACUAUUGGACUCAUUAUCAUCCAACUAAAUGGGAAGCUAUAAUCUAGUUAUCACCAUAACUAUUUCAUUUUAAGAAUUGUACAAAGUUAAAAGAUUUAAUUAGUUAAAUUGAGAGAUGAGAUGAGACUUGACUAAUUAAUCUUAAUUCUCCCACUGACUUCACCAAGUUAGAUUAAAGAAGAUCAGGUAUAAACUAAUCCAGCCAACCAGUCAUAAAUCCUCCCACUGACUUCAUCAAGUCACAAAGAGGACUCAAGACAAGUUAAAUUAGGGGCACCUAAAUCAGUCAUAUUGAUUUCCUAGUUAGCAUUGGUCAACCCCAAUCAUUAAGUGAUCUAAUUAAAAUAUGAUUCACCAUAUUGGCUAGGUAAGC